CUUAGUGGCGGACGGGUGAGUAACGCGUGAGUAACCUGCCUUUCAGAGGGGGAUAACGUUCUGAAAAGAACGCUAAUACCGCAUAAUAUAUUGGGGUCGCAUGGCCCCGGUAUCAAAGGAGCAAUCCGCUGAAAGAUGGACUCGCGUCCGAUUAGCCAGUUGGCGGGGUAAAGGCCCACCAAAGCGACGAUCGGUAGCCGGGUUGAGAGACUGAACGGCCACAUUGGGACUGAGACACGGCCCAGACUCCUACGGGAGGCAGCAGUGGGGGAUAUUGCACAAUGGAGGAAACUCUGAUGCAGCAAUGCCGCGUGAGGGAAGACGGUCUUCGGAUUGUAAACCUCUGUCCUUGGUGAAGAUAAUGACGGUAGCCAAGGAGGAAGCUCCGGCUAACUACGUGCCAGCAGCCGCGGUAAUACGUAGGGAGCAAGCGUUGUCCGGAUUUACUGGGUGUAAAGGGUGCGUAGGCGGCUUUUUAAGUCGGGCGUGAAAGCUGUGGGCUUAACCCACAAAUUGCGUUCGAAACUGGAAGGCUUGAGUGAAGUAGAGGUAGGCGGAAUUCCCGGUGUAGCGGUGAAAUGCGUAGAGAUCGGGAGGAACACCAGUGGCGAAGGCGGCCUACUGGGCUUUAACUGACGCUGAGGCACGAAAGCAUGGGUAGCAAACAGGAUUAGAUACCCUGGUAGUCCAUGCCGU
rnacentral:rRNA from 1 species